AUUGAACGCUGGCGGCAGGCUUAACACAUGCAAGUCGGGCGAGUGGCGGACGGGUGAGUAAUGUUUGGGGAUCUGGCUGAUGGAGGGGGAUAACUACUGGAAACCGUAGCUAAUACCGCAUACCAUCAGAUGAACCCAAAUGGGAUUAGCGAGUGGGUGAGGUAACGGCUCACCUAGGCGACGAUCCCUAGCUGGUCUGAGAGGAUGAUCAGCCACACGGGGACUGAGACACGGCCCCGACUCCUACGUGAGGCAGCAGUGUGGAAUAUUGCGCAAUGGGCGCAAGCCUGAUGCAGCCAUGCCGCGGUUAUGAAGAAGUCUUUCGGGUUGUAAAGUACUUUCAGUCGGGAGGCGUUACCUACAGAAGAAGCACCGGCUAACUCCGUGCCAGCAGCCGCGGUAAUUC
rnacentral:rRNA from 1 species